GAUCCUGGCUCAGAUUGAACGCUGGCGGAAUGCUUUACACAUGCAAGUCGAACGGUAGAGGGGGCAACCCUUGAGAGUGGCGAACGGGUGAGUAAUAUAUCGGAACGUGCCCAGUCGUGGGGAUAACGUAGCGAAAGUUACGCUAAUACCGCAUACGAUCUAAGGAUGAAAGCGGGGGACUCGCAAGAGCCUCGCGCGAUUGGAGCGGCCGAUAUCAGAUUAGGUAGUUGGUGGGGUAAAGGCUCACCAAGCCAACGAUCUGUAGCUGGUCUGAGAGGACGACCAGCCACACUGGAACUGAGACACGGUCCAGACUCCUACGGGAGGCAGCAGUGGGGAAUUUUGGACAAUGGACGCAAGUCUGAUCCAGCCAUUCCGCGUGCAGGAUGAAGGCCCUCGGGUUGUAAACUGCUUUGUACGGAACGAAAAGGUUUCUAUUAAUACUAGGAGCUCAUGACGGUACCGUAAGAAUAAGCACCGGCUAACUACGUG
rnacentral:rRNA from 1 species